GGAUGUGAGGGCAAUCUGGCUGCAAUAUUUGUCACACCAUUAAUCUCCAGGGUUGAUUCGACUGAUCUGGCUGGCUAGAUGGGUGUCCCUUUACUCCCUCAUUGCUCCAUGUGCAUCCCUCCUGAAGCUGCAUGCUUGGUAGAGGAGGACUGGUCUUUAGUCAAGUUUAUAAGAGUAGCUGUGCUCCCCUGCUGGAACCUCCAAACAAGCUUUCAAGAACUACUUGAGACUGGGUAAUUUAUGAAGAAAAGAAAUUUAGUUGGCU
rfam:Papio anubis isolate 1X1155 chromosome 7, whole genome shotgun sequence.